GACCUGGUACGGUGGUCAGCCUUCACGGUGUGUACUGCUGGACCGGGUUCUACCUCUUGGUGAGCCGGCAUGCCCUUCACUGGGUGUGUCGGGGAACCAGGACUUUUACCUUGAUAAAAUUAUAGUGUUCAAAGCAGGCCUACGCCCGAAUACAUUAGCAUGGCAUAAUAAAAUAGGACGUGCGGAUCUAUUUUGUUGGUUACUAGAGUCGCCGUA
rnacentral:rRNA from 1 species